CUAGUUGGUGAGGUAAUGGCUCACCAAGGCAACGAUCGAUAGCUGUUCUGAGAGGAAGAUCAGCCACACUGGGACUGAGACACGGCCCAGACUCCUACGGGAGGCAGCAGUUGGGAAUCUUGGACAAUGGGGGAAACCCUGAUCCAGCCAUGCCGCGUGAGUGAUGAAGGCCUUCGGGUUGUAAAGCUCUUUUACCCGGGAAGAUAAUGACUGUACCGGGAGAAUAAGCUCCGGCUAACUUCGUGCCAGCAGCCGCGGUAAUACGAAGGGGGCUAGCGUUGUUCGGAAUUACUGGGCGUAAAGCGCGCGCAGGCGGUUUCUCAAGUCAGUGGUGAAAGCCCGGAGCUCAACUCCGGAACUGCCAUUGAAACUGUGAAACUUGAGGACGAGAGAGGUGAGUGGAAUUCCCAGUGUAGAGGUGAAAUUCGUAGAUAUUGGGAAGAACACCGGUGGCGAAGGCGGCUCACUGGCUCGUUUCUGACGCUCAGGCGCGACAGCGUGGGGAUCAAACAGGAUUAGAUACCCUGGUAGUCCACGCCGUAAACGAUGAACGCUAGCCGUUGGGUAGCUUGCUAUUCAGUGGCGCAGCUAACGCAUUAAGCGUUCCGCCUGGGGAGUACGGCCGCAAGGUUGAAACUCAAGGGAAUUGACG
rnacentral:rRNA from 1 species